CCAACCGUCUUCGGACAAACUCGUCGCGCUUCACGGCGUGGCGAACGUUUUGAACUCGACCUCAAAUCAGGCGGGACUACCCGCUGAACUUAAGCAUAUCAAUAAGCGGAGGAAAAGAAACUAACAAGGAUUCCCCUAGUAACUGCGAGUGAAGCGGGAAAAGCUCAAAUUUAAAAUCUGGCGGUCUCGCGGCCGUCCGAGUUGUAAUUUAGAGAAGCGUUUUCCGCGCCGGACCGUGUACAAGUCUCCUGGAACGGAGCGUCACAGAGGGUGAGAAUCCCGUCUUUGACACGGACGCCCGGUGCUAUGUGAUACGCUCUCGAAGAGUCGAGUUGUUUGGGAAUGCAGCUCAAAAUGGGUGGUGAACUCCAUCUAAAGCUAAAUAUUGGCGAGAGACCGAUAGCGAACAAGUACCGUGAGGGAAAGAUGAAAAGCACUUUGGAAAGAGAGUGAAACAGUACGUGAAAUUGCUGAAAGGGAAACGCUUGAAGUCAGUCGCGUCCGCCGGGACUCAGCCCUAGUGGUGUACUUUCCGGCGGACGGGCCAGCAUCACUUUCGGUCGUCGGAUAAGGGCGGGGGAAAUGUGGCACCCCUUCGGGGGUGUGUUAUAGUCCCUCGUCGUAUACGGUGGCCGGGAGUGAGGACCGCCUUUGUUGCAGGAUGCUGGCGUAAUGGCUUUAAACGACCCGUCUUGAAACACGGACCAAGGAGUCUAACAUGCCCGCGAGUGUUCGGGUGGCAAACCCGAGCGCGAAAUGAAAGUGAAAGGUUGGGAAGGCUGUCGUGGCCUGCACCGACGCCCGGACCUGAGAUUCAUCGACGGUUCUGCGGUAGAGCGUGUAUGUUGGGACCCGAAAGAUGGUGAACUAUGCCUG
rnacentral:rRNA from 1 species